GGCUCUGUGCUUUUUGAUGCUCAACACCUUUUGCAUGAGGGGGCACGUUAAAGAUACAAAAUCUAUUCCUUUGGAGAAAUCAACUAUUUAACCUCCUUCUAGCUAACCCUCUCUGAUCAUUGGUAAUUCAGUAAAGGACCAAACAACUUGUUUCUUUUUUGUCAUUAAACAGAACAAGGAUCAUCCAAGGAGCUAGAGCUUACUAUUGAUCAUUGAAUAGCGACAUUCAACAAAGACAUUAAAAUUACCAUCACAGUAAAAAAGUAAACAGAACUAAUUCCGUAGCACCGGUAGAACCUGUCAUCAAACUCAGAAU
rnacentral:misc_RNA from 1 species